rnacentral:rRNA from 2 species
UUGGUGCCUUCGGGAACUGUGAGACAGGUGCUGCAUGGCUGUCGUCAGCUCGUGUUGUGAAAUGUUGGGUUAAGUCCCGCAACGAGCGCAACCCUUAUCCUUUGUUGCCAGCGGUUAGGCCGGGAACUCAAAGGAGACUGCCAGUGAUAAACUGGAGGAAGGUGGGGAUGACGUCAAGUCAUCAUGGCCCUUACGACCAGGGCUACACACGUGCUACAAUGGCGCAUACAAAGAGAAGCGACCUCGCGAGAGCAAGCGGACCUCAUAAAGUGCGUCGUAGUCCGGAUUGGAGUCUGCAACUCGACUCCAUGAAGUCGGAAUCGCUAGUAAUCGUAGAUCAGAAUGCUACGGUGAAUACGUUCCCGGGCCUUGUACACACCGCCCGUCACACCAUGGGAGUGGGUUGCAAAAGAAGUAGGUAGCUUAACCUUCGGGAGGGCGCUUACCACUUUGUGAUUCAUGACUGGGGUGAAGUCGUAACAAGGUAACCGUAGGGGAACCUGCGGUUGGAUCACCUCCUUACCUUAAAGAA